rnacentral:rRNA from 1 species
GUAGGUGGCAAGCGUUGUCCGGAAUUAUUGGGCGUAAAGCGCGCGCAGGCGGUCCUUUAAGUCUGAUGUGAAAGCCCACGGCUCAACCGUGGAGGGUCAUCGGAAACUGGGGGACUUGAGUACAGAAGAGGAAAGCGGAAUUCCAAGUGUAGCGGUGAAAUGCGUAGAGAUUUGGAGGAACACCAGUGGCGAAGGCGGCUUUCUGGUCUGUAACUGACGCUGAGGCGCGAAAGCGUGGGGAGCAAACAGGAUUAGAUACCCUGGUAGUCCACGCCGUAAACGAUGAGUGCUAAGUGUUAGGGGGUUUCCCGCCCCCUUAGUGCUGCAGCUAACGCAUUAAGCACUCCGCCUGGGGAGUACGGCCGCAAGGCUG